rnacentral:rRNA from 1 species
GUAGGGAGCAAGCGUUGUUCGGAUUCAUUGGGCGUAAAGAGCGCGUAGGUGGUUUGGUAAGUCCGGUGUGAAAGCCCACAGCUCAACUGUGGAACUGCAUUGGAAACUGCCGGACUAGAGUGCGGGAGAGGAGAGUGGAAUUCCCAGUGUAGAGGUGAAAUUCGUAGAUAUUGGGAGGAACACCGGUGGCGAAGGCGGCUCUCUGGACCGCAACUGACGCUGAGGCGCGAAAGCUAGGGGAGCAAACGGGGAUUAGAUACCCCGGUAGUCCUAGCCGUAAACGAUGGGCACUAGGUGUAGGGGGUAUUGGCCCCCCUUCUGUGCCGCAGCUAACGCAUUAAGUGCCCCGCCUGGGGAGUACGGUCGCAAGACUA